ensembl:lncRNA
CAACAGUGCAGCAGCUGAGCUGAAUGGAGAGCUGAGUUCAUCACUUUGGGGCAGAGCAGGUGAGGUGACCUGUCACAGCGGGUGGCCACCCCCAGCCCACUCCCCAGCUCUUGCCCCCAUCUGCCCAGAGCUUGAAUGGCUGUCCGACAACGUCAGGCUGGCAGCGAGGAGGCAGGCGUGGAUGCUAUGAGAGCUGGAACUGCAGAGCUGUGCUGAGAUGGCUCAGGGCCCAGAGCUGUUUUCUCCCGAGCUGAAGAGGAGAGAAAUCUGACAGCCCUGCCAGUGACAGAGAACUUCAGGAUGGGAGACUAUUUGGGAAACUGCCCUGAAAAAGUCUGCCUUCCAGUGCCUUACCACUCUUUCUGAGAAGAAAUUUUUCUUGGUAUCCAAACUGAACCACCCAUGAUGCAACUUAAGGCCCCACUUGUUCUAUUACUGUUACCUGGGAGAAGAGACCAACCUCCACCUCACUACAACGUAACUCAGGGCAGCCUAAGAGACCUCAGCUGUACCACUUUGUAGUGGAAAUGCUAAGUCAUGGCCUGAAGCAGUGAUUGAGCACCUGGUGGAAGGCAGGACCAACCCAGGGGAGCUCAGCUGCAUGCAAUGGCCCUGAAUGACUGGAAGGGGUAGAACCAGGAUCCACCCUUUCCCAGGCCUCAUUUAAGGGUUGGCUGUGGAGGUGAUGGCAUCUUACUGGAAGCUCCUGUGUCCCUGAGGCCUUCUGAAGACCAGCACAGGCACUGCAGAUGCGAUACAUCGAGUUCAUCACUGUCUGCUCCUCAUGGCAUGGCCAGAUCAUCAGGUUAUCUUCUACUUGCCUGUUUCCAUGGAAGUCAGCUCUCUUUGGGAUGGCUUACUUCAGCUUCAGCAGCUUUCCAGACCGCAUCUGGGGGUUAACACACCACUUCCACUGAGUGUCACCUUCUUGGAGGACAAAGCUGGAUCCCCAGACCUGGCUGACCCUACGUCUCUUGAUUUGUAUGUCACAGGCGUGUUUCAGUGCAUUACUCUAUCCUCCUCCUCUUGUGCCCUGCCACAGCCAGCUUUUCUGAAUGAGGUCAAAAAGUCCUUUUUUGAACUGUCUGCAAUGAUGCCUUGCUAUUUUCUCUAGUUGACAGAGGUAACAUGUAAGCUUUUAUACUGUACGAACAGUUGAAGAGCCCGUCUGCAUUAAGCCUUUAAAAAAAUUAAUAAAAAAGACAUCGAAUUUCUUUUGUUGCCAUUUACCAGUUGGAUCCUACAUGAAGUUGCUUUGAGUUCCCUUUGAUCUUUCUAACUUAAAGAGACAGCUUUGUCAUUAGUGUAUUUUUUGGUCUUUCUGUUCAUUUACUGUCUUUCCGAACAGCAGGAAUAUGAUUUGUAAUGGGACAUCUGAAGGAAGUGAAGGCUCCUGUCUAAGCUCAGGAAAGCAGUUGUGUAUAUAAUUCAGGAGAUCUGUAUGAAGCAGACCAGCAGAGUUUAGGCUGGCAUCAAGAGCAAGAAGGACAGACAGCCCAAUACAUUAUGGCUGCUGAUGAGCGGGACAGACAGGCAUCCUGGAGGUUUGGAGGACGUCUGUACUGAUCAGUGACAUUCGUGGGUCUUCUUAGCAGCUGCUGCCUCCGGUGUUCUUUCAGCUUCCUGUUAACCCAGAAGAGUGGGAGAUGAGACCUUGGUGUUCUGAUACAGAUUGUUUUGACUCCAUGCAUCGCAGUUUGUGCCUGCAGAUAUGUAGCUGGUCAGUACACAUUGUUUCUUUCUCUGAUUGCGGUCUUGAAAUUUCUAAACUGGAGAAUAAUAACUAGCAGAAAGUGAGUACUGUAUCUCAUGCCUCUGGUGACAACUUCCAGGUGAAUAAUAACUCCUCCUUGGUAUAAUGGAUCUCUAAGAGCUUCUGAAUACUUUCACCACAUUAUGCUUGAAGAUAGAACUGCUUGUGUUUGUAAGGUUUUUUCUUGUUUAGUUGGUUUUGCUUCUCUCGUCUCUUUUGGUCCCCAGGGACCAGGAAGAAGACACAAGGCUAUCAGUGCCCAUGAGGUAAGCGCCCUGCUUCCUAGACUGCCCUUAGGAAAGAGAGGCAGAUUGCUGGGUCAAGGGCCAGCAUGGACUAGCAUCUAUUAUACUGCAAAUGUUGGCAGCGAAUGGAAAAAUUAUCUAUCUGCCCCAGGGGAAGCCUACUGCAUCGGUGUACAAUCUUCCUGUUCCAGGGAGUGAGAAUUAAACAUCCCUAGUAGGUCCCUUCUGGGCCAUUUCCCUGAGAAAAGCCAGAGAUUCUCUGUUCUAGUUUUAUAUAUUUAUAUACAUAUAUACAUACACUUUUUCAGUCUUACUGAAAUUUGGCUCCCCACCUUAUCCCAGGAUUCUAUCUCACAGCACGUGCUCAGAGUCCAUAUGCUGCUUCCUAAAUCUUCCUUGCCUGUACUUCCUAGUUGGAGUGCUGUUGGCCAGAGAUUCCCUGGACCUGCUUGCUUGUGUGCAACACCAUAAGAUCCUGCGAAAGGAGCACAUAAUCUCCCUGUAGCUAGAGGAAGGUGUAUGCUGGUGUUUCUUGGAUGAACCAAGGCUGAAAUUCUCAAUGGUAGCUAGGAACAUGGCUAUGCCUCUCUCAUGUAGCAGUUUAAUUGUGGAUGAAUCCCCUGUGCUUCUUUGAACCCCUCAGGACAGAUCUUGAACAACAAGUUAUCAAAAGGCUGCCUGUAUUUCCAACGAGAUCUAUUGUCCUGAGACUAUUCCAGGUUAAGAAAAGAUGCUUUGCUUCUACUUCUCAUUUCAGCUGCAUAAAAAAUCUAACACAUGCUGUUAGGUAUGGCUUUCUAGUCUCUCUGGGCUGCUUCCACAUAUCCUUACUGCUCUUGAAAGCAGGUCUCAUCAUACAAAGACAGCUUUCCCUACCUGCUGCGAAGUGGCCAACCAACAGUCUGGCUCCCCCUCAUGUUUCUUGAAAGCAUUUAAGAAGGGCACGUUUUUGCCUGUUUUCAGUGCAGUGCUUCUUAGCUUUCCACCGAUAUUCUGCUGAGGACUGUAAGUUUCUUUGGCCACCUGGGCAGACAGGUAGCAUCACAGAGAAUUUAGGCAGAGCCUUGGCUCAGUUUUCCUUCUCUUCCUUUUCUUGGGUCCCAUGGAAGCAGCCCAUGGACUUCCCUGGGUCUGUACACCAGAGGCAGAAUGCAAGCCAGCAGAUGCUGCUCUGCUCCUGUUUUAGCAAAGCUUUUCAAAAAGCUUCUCCAAGCCUCUGUUCCUUAGAGAGCAGAGAACUGUAAAGGCCAAAACUUGUUUCCAUUUUAAUCAUAUCAUAAUUCCAGUAGGUGCCUGUAAAGCAGAAAAGAGCAGCUCUCUCCCUAUUAUAGAGAGCUGAAUAAUUCAGAUACCUUCUCUAGGCCUCCUCCUCUCUUCCAAGAUAAUAAUCGUCCCACAUUUUAGUGCUGCCACAAAAACCAGCCACCCAGGACUUCACUGUGCUCACUAGGCUUUGUACUGACAAGAGGAGAAAAUGCAGAAAAGAGAAUUUUUUUAAUUUUAAUUGCUGGAACAUGAGUCCUGGGACAUCACCGUGUGUCUCUGGUUCCCUCAGAAGCUGGGCAGUGCGGAUCCCACAUGUAUGGGUAUGUGCUCAUAUGGGAGCACAGGGGGGAGGAUGUUUAUGCAGCCCAAGACUGGGGAUUUGGCCUAAAUGGGAGAAAUCUUGCUGCUGUUUCCCUGUGGUUUUGGCCAUAUUACUUUUUCAGUGAUAUGGCUGUGACUUGUUCCUCCACAUUCCCAGCAUGUGCUGAUGGGCACGGCUGGGUUCAGCCAAGCAAGUUGAAGUUCCUGUGCCAUCAGAUUAUACCAUUAUAUGUUAGAUACAAGCAGAACCAGAGUAAAUCUGUAGUGGAUAUACACACCACAGUCCUUACCUGACAGUGUAAAGCCAGGUAAAGACUCCAAGAUAAAGUAAUUAUGAAGAAAGCUGCUCACAAACAAACCUUCCCUAUGUAUUACAAAUGUUACCACAGUUUUUCAGUAGCUAAAAAUGUUUGUUCUUUGAAAGAUAUCCAAAUUGAGGAGAGCUCUGCAGACAUACAGUUAGAAUAACGAGUGUAUAGGCUGGCUGUGAGCGCUCCUGCAGAUGAAUCCCAAAGGGAAGAAGAGGAGGCUGUAGUGGGAGCUAGAAGGAGCACUGGCAAAUCUAUGACUCAACACUGUUGGGACGGGUAAUAUGAUAAAAAACUUCAGAGAACAAAGGAAAUCCUGGAAUUGUUAUAGAUCUUUUAUGAUAUGAUGUUAUCUUCCAAAAUAUCUAAUAUUCCUGCAGUGGGGGAAAAAAAAGCCAGCAGUACCCACUAAAUCUCUAUCCUCAGUUUUCUUACAGAAGCUAGGUGGCAUAUUAGAAUCCUAUGAGAUGAAUGAGUGAUUCUAUGUUAUUUUAUGUUAACAACCAAAGUUGCUGAAUAAAAGCAAUUAUUAGCAUUAAAUAUUCCCAAGUCAGGACAACCAGAUAAUGCACAAGAGGAUUCUAAAAGCUCCCUGAAGAUUUCUCUGGAGAGUUGAUGCCAAUUUUGAAUAAAAUUUGAAAAAACAGGUUGCAAACUUUGUGCUGGCUCUUGUAAAGUGUGAAUGGGACAACAGAGGCACCUGUCGAUCUGCUGCAAUACAAUGCAGGAUGUGGUGAGUGCAAAAUUAACCAGUAGGAGUUUCAGAAUGUGCACUUCGAAUGAUGCUGAUACCAAAACAAGCAUUGUCAUGGUGCGGGUGGCAGGGUGUAUUUGCACAGGUGAACUUUGUUACAGUGACAGAGGAAAGGCUGCACUCAGGAAAAUGUUAUUCUGAGCAGUACUGUGGGAACACAGGCGCCGACAGAGAAACAACUAUGGGCUGCCAAGUGCAGCCAAGGCCAGAGGGAAAAUGUGGGCUAUGAUAGACAGACAUGGUCCUGCCGAGCAGGUGCCCCGGCUGGAUCAUCCUACACACAGCCGUGUGAGAUGCUGGCCAGGCCUGCACUCAGUGGGCAAUACGGACAAAUAAAAAGCCAGCAAUUUUUCUGCAAGAGCAGGUCUUCAGAAAAGCUCUCCUAGUUUUCGAGAGGUACCUGGAUUUCAAGAGUACCAGGGAUUCUGGCACCGAGGUCAUACAUGAAGACGUGAGAAAGAAGAUGGCCCUUCCUUUAUUUUUCCAUGAUUCUGGGAGCAGCUUUGGCUAAUGGAGGAGGACCUGCGCGCUUGAAAAGGCUGCUCAUAGAGAAUCCCUGCUUCCUCCUGGGCAUGAAGGCUGACUUAUCUACUCACUGCAUCAGUUUCUCCAGGCAGACAGUUCAUUCAUCAAUCAUAUUUACAAGCCCAUUGUCGGACCGGCUGCCAGUGGAGCAUUCUCACACAUUUCAGCUCACAGAAACUGCAAACCAGGGCCGCUCUGCUCAGAUCUCUAAUAUUUCUGAGGAGCCAGAAGGUGCUGACAGCUCAUGGUACGCCUAUCCCAGGCAAGUGCAAGUGCCUCGACGUCCAUCUAUCUGCGGUUACUGCUGAGGGGUACAAUUACAGAGCACAUUUACCCUCUGCGAAGGAAUCCUCCCUGGAGAGGUUAGAAACGGGGAAUAAACAGCGCGUUGCAGCUGGGGGUCUGCAAAACGAGCUUCAGAAUAAUCACCCAAGCGGACUUUUUGAGUGAGCUUCUGCCACUACUGAGCCUCCCGUGACGGCAGCAGGAGCAGCUCAGGGGCGGCAGACGUGGGCCUUGGUCUUGCUUUGUGCUUUGCUGUUCCACACCCUCACUUAUUUUUCCCUUUAAGCGUGUACCUCGGGAUGGAGAACAUUAGGGAAGAACGUUCCUCCUUGGGAUUUCACAGGAGGGUGUUUCUCAGGGCGGCAGAAGGAAGCAGCUCCCAGCACCCAAGGCGACACAUUGUCACCACAGCCCUGCUUGCAUCCGAGCCCAUUGUCAACCAAAGGAACUCGAAAAUUAUGGUCAUUUAUCUACCCCCUUCUUUACCCCCCACCGUGCCUCUUUUGGCAGGGCAGCCAAGCAGUUUGCAUUGUUUCAAGCUUAAUGCUUGCAGAUGGUUUUAUUUAGAAUUCGUUUUAUUGGUGA